UUUUACACAUUUAGAAAGAGAGACAGAGAGACAACGACCACAUUUACACAUUUAGAGAGAGACUGAGAGAACGACAUUAGAGAGAAACCGAUGAAAGAAGAGGAAGCCGAUAACCGCAACUCGAUGAAGGUGAAGAGGAACCCUAGCCGACAACCAGAUUGGCAGCGAUGGCGGCUAGGGUUCCAGUUUGGGGGUUUUGAAACCGAAUCGUGAAGGUGUUGAGGACGUCUGCAACCUUUAAGCACCAAGAAAUGAGGGCGACACAUAAGUGAGAGAGAAAGACGAUGGAAACCGUUUACGAUAGUGUACCUGGUCGCGAACGACGUCGCUUCUCACUUCCGAUGCAUACAUGACCGCCAAAAGAAAAAAACAGGGGCGAGAAGUGUAUUCUGGUGAAGUCUGACGAGUCUCCGGAAAAGAUCCGAUUUAGCAUGUGAAAAGGAAUGCAGCAGGGUGAGGACUACCAGUUGGUUAAGUUAAAGAUAAUUAACUUCAAGGUUUGUCUUCUGAUGUUACUUCCUUUUUUGAUGUUUAGCUUUUAAAAGUUGCUUUUCCAUGUUGCAAAGCAAGAAAGAACAAGUUGUGGUGGUUGAAAGACGCGGUCCUGAUGCUACGUGGUUAUUGAACGUUUAUCAUGCUCAUAGAUGGGGAAGGAUGUUGUUAAUUUGGUUGACUAGAAGCACCAGAAGAAGAAGAACGAGGUUGUGAUUUCUUCGGUGUGUGAAACGCUAAAAGUAGAUGAGGCAACAAAAGAGCAUGUUAGGCGGUUUAUGCCUAAAUUAACCGGUCUGGAUGUUGUUGGGAAGACGAGCAACUCUGGCUUGGACUUUAAAGCAGAAGUGGGACCUAUAGAUCAAACUUCUCAAACUUAGGAUCCAAAUAACAUUUUCAAACUAACAUCUGGUUAUGUCUUUAAUCAUGUGAGAAUCUUGAAAUUGUUAAUAAACUCAAUUGCAUCUUAUUGGUUACUAGCAUUACUGAGAUACCACAUGUCCACCUGAUUGAAAGGUAAAUUAUAUUGAGUCGUGUUUUAUGCUUUUAGUUUAUGUUAUUUGUUGUCAUUUUAAAAUCUGUCCAUGCAAAAUAAUUAGCUUUUAUAAACCUACAGCUAGCUUUUGUGACAUGAUUUGUAAUAUUCUUGAUUAAAGAAUAUUGUUACUCUAGGUUAAGGUUGACAUGGGUGAGCCAAUGUUGAUAAUUUCUCAGGCAAAAAGAGAACUUGCCAUGUGAAGUGAAGAAGGUUCUCAGCCAAAAAGAGAACUUGCCAUGUGAAGAAGGUAUGUUGUUAUCCAUUCCUUUUUGUGCACAAGCAUGAGACAUAAUACAAUUUAAAAUGUUAAACCGUAUACAAGCAUGAGACAUAAUAUAAUUUGUUAUUUAUUUAGGAAUAUGACGGUCUAUCACGGGUUAUUGUUUUUGGACGAUCAUUAGUGUUUAAGAAAGAAACUAUCUUACGAAAUUAACUCAAUCGAUGCUACUCAUGAAAACUGACUAAAUAUAAAUAUAAACAUAGCCCCCGCCGCAUCGCGGCGGGUUACAUUUCUAGUUACUAAAAAAAAGUAUAAAAGGUUGAUUAGAAAAAAAUAUUAGAUUUGUUAAAAGAUAUAAAUUAUUAAAGAAUAAAAAAAUAUGCACUUCAUUAACUUAAUAGAAAUAUUAUAAAAGUUUAACAUGUUGGUUAAAAAGAAAAGACACACAAAAUAAUCAGGAAACACCAUUUUGGUAAAUACUUUUGAAUGAACACUAUUUUGAUAAAUAUUUUUUCCACCAACACUAGUUUGGGAAAAAACUCAUUUUGUUUUUGAGAGGGCAAGAGAGAGAAAUUUAUGGGCAGGAGAGAGGAUAGAGAAUUGGUGUUUUUAUGGUUUGUGAAAGGAUCAUGAGAGAGAAAUGGUCUUAUUGGUUGGGCAAGCACACAUAUGAUACAAAACAUCAUCUAAAAACAUCCUUAUUGUGGAUACUCUAACAGAGGUGUACUCUCACAAUGUUGUUCCAUGACUUCUAUUCCACUAAACCAAUAAACAAAGGUAUGUUGUUCGUUACCAACUCCUAUUCAUUCUUCUUUUUCAUACAUGAUAACACUCAUUCUUUUUUUUUUUCACAAAUGAUAACACACGUUGAAGUUGAUGCCAUCUCGAAUUUACGAGUUCAUCACCGACAAUACAUUAUUCCGGUUGUUGUAUCAUAAGAAACAGUUUCAUUGUGCGAAAGAUAUUUACAUGUAACUAUUUCAAACACAAGGCCUCCGUUAACUCAA